CCUCAGAGGAGGUUGGUCACGCGCCGAACUGCAUUUUGGGUAAAUAUCACACUGUGCUUCAGUUUACACGUUCUCUCAUGCUGUUCGGAUCUCUGGAAAGGCGACUGAAGAUCCGUUAAAAGCUGCUCCUCAACUCCUUGGAUUACCUUACCUACGCACGAUGAUCGAUAAAGACUAGGAAAACGUGGGGGUUUUUUGCGAUCGAGUCCCAGAGUGAAGAUAUCUGUCACGUGACGAGACCAUAAUCAAACAUGUCGAAAUGAACGUCGAAGCCCUUUAUAACUUUCCUUUAUGGCUAUUCAGUUGGCCAGUUAAACCACUAAAACUACUGGAAAAAUUGGGCCAAUAAUAUUGUUAUUUGUCACGACUGACGUAUGGAACAUUACUAAAGUUUAUCAAAUCUUCAUCUUUGACAAGUGAUUUCUGAUGGCCGUCUCUCUAAACUGGCAGCAAAUCUUGCAUAGUCGAUGGAACUGGAUCAUUGAAUGCUGUAAUUACGAGUCAGGGCUCUGUCUGGAAAGAAUACACAGUAAGAGGGCAAUGCCUGCUCCAGAGCAGAAGGAGGUUCUGUGCACUGAAUUGGCUUACUAAACCUCUGCCAUGGUGGGACUUUGGAGUGCUCAACUGGGCCAUUCUCUGGCACGUCAAACACCUGAAGCAUGAUGCUUCCUUCCGUAGUUUCUGGGUGAUCACUGGACUGAAUAGGCUGUUUAUCUACAAAGAAUAAUGUUAACUUGGCAUAUUGCAAAGACUACCGAUUGAUCUUUUUCCGCGUAUGGAAAUUCAUCAGAUAAUAGCCACAAAAAGAGUUGACUUAGGAGGAAUUAUUUAUAAAAUUGCUAAAGGCUUUGUAGCUUUGGUGGUUUCACUACAAUAAUUAUCUGCUCUUCUUAUGUCUUUGCAAAGAGAUAUCGACAAUAAUAAACCUGCACCUUCAUCUUGCUCAAUGGGUUCCUUUCUGGUACUGCGUAAUUUUCCAAUCCAGUAGCCACAUACUCGUACUAGUCGUAUUAAAACGAUGCGAGCUUUUCUCGCUUGGUUGCAAAUAAACGACAUGUUAUUUUUCCAAACUUGUUCCUCAAUCAAACAACUGGAGGAUUUUUUUCAAUACCGCACCAAAGUUCUUUCGUCAUCAUUUUUACUUUCUUGAGGGAGGUAGAGGUGAGGGUGGGGUGGAGGGACUUAAAGUGGUUUUGUUGCAAUACUGUAAAUAUAUGUCUAAAAAUUCUCUAAUGGUAUAUUUGUACUUCAAGUCAUAAAUUCCCUGAGUGACGGUUACCAUUACAACAAAACUUGCUUGAAUAUCUUUAGCAACUCCACAUAAUGUGUGUGAACCGUAGAAUCGUGUGCGGUUUUUGCUAAAUAUAUAUUGAGGAUCUGAAACACGAAUCCAUCUAAAACAAAUUAUUGCUUAUGUUUUAAUUAAGGUGGUUUAAAUACAACUUUCUAAGUGGAAAUAUUUUGCAUAAUGAGCAUUACAAACAUUGUGGUAUUGAUGAAUUUUUGUGGCAAGCCACCAAAAUAUAUGACAUUAUUCAUAUAGUAUUUUAUGGUUAUACAUCUUGUAAACUGACGGGAAUCAAUCUCCUUAUAAUCAAAAAGAGAGCUCUAUCGAGAUAUCCUUCGUGCUUAAUUUAUUGAGACAAGAUCCUUAAUUUAAGCGAAAUCUGUCACAUGGAGAAAGACUUUGCAGUGUUUUUUUCCGGGUCAACAGCAAUACCGACGAUAAUCUAUUGCUUAAUUGAUUUAGUGGCACACUAUUCGCAAGAAAUAAAGAAGUACAAGAGUUAUAUACCUUCAACCUGGACCUUAGGCUACAACAAUCAAAAUGUUUUGUUUUGAUUUUCUUUAUUAUCUCAGGCAUUUGCUACUCUGAAUUUGCUAAAACUUAAUAGUUGUUAAUUCACAUUACUAUCCAUAUGUAAAUACAGGACUUUCUACUUAACCAUCGCGAAGUAAACAGAACUUAUAUAUUUUUAUGUUGAUAAAUGAAACUAUUUGUUAUUAAGCUGCUGUUAUUGCUGUUUACUUUGCAAUGGGGCAGUUCAUCCAUUACAACUACUCGAAGGAGUGGGCCAAUGAUAUUAUUUCUCACGACUGACUUAUGGAAAAAUCCCGGGGGGGUACUUUGGGAAUUUCUAGGUGGGGAUGUGCCGCUGGGACCCUGGAACCUUAAGCCUAUACCAGAG